rnacentral:rRNA from 1 species
UACGUAGGGUGCAAGCGUUAAUCGGAAUUACUGGGCGUAAAGCGUGCGCAGGCGGUUCUAUAAGACAGAUGUGAAAUCCCCGGGCUCAACCUGGGAACUGCAUUUGUGACUGUAGAGCUGGAGUGCGGCAGAGGGGGAUGGAAUUCCGCGUGUAGCAGUGAAAUGCGUAGAUAUGCGGGAGGAACACCGAUGGCGAAGGCAAUCCCCUGGACCUGGUACUGACGCUCAUGCACGAAAGCGUGGGGAGCAAACAGG